rnacentral:rRNA from 1 species
UACAGAGGCCUCAAGCGUUGUUCGGAUUCAUUGGGCGUAAAGGGUGCGUAGGUGGCUUGGUAAGUUGAAGGUGAAAUCUCGGGGCUUAACUCCGAAACUGCCUUCAAUACUGCUGAGCUCGAGGACUGUAGAGGAGAAUGGAAUUCACGGUGUAGCAGUGAAAUGCGUAGAUAUCGUGAGGAACACCAGUGGCGAAGGCGACACUCUGGAGAGCAACUGACGCUGAGGCACGAAGGCCAGGGGAGCGAACGGG